rnacentral:lncRNA from 1 species
CUCUGUGAUUUUCCAGCAUGCAUGAAGCCCCAGAUUUCAUCCCCAAGGGGAAAAAAAGAAAGAAGAGAAGAGAUAGAGAGAGGCAGAAGAGAGAGAGACAAACAGACUAACAUAUAGGAGCUGGGCAUGAUGGCUCACACUUCUAAUCAUAACACUCAGGAGAUAGAGGCAGGUAGAUCUCUGAGUCUCAGGCCAGUCUGAUCUACAUAGAGAGUUCCAGGUCAGCCAGGAUGAGAUAGUGAGGCCCUAUCUCAGAAAAAAAAACUAAUACACUGCUGGUACAAAUGCACAUUGGUACAGAUACUUUGUUAAAUUAUUGUUUCACAAUUACUUAAGCUCUCAGGUGUGCUGUUCAGAGCAGAAAUAUGGAUGUAGAUGACCAGAAGGUAUGCCUAAGAAGACCCACAAAAGCAUCAUUUAUAUCAUCUUGACCCAGAGCCAAGCCAGAUGUCCAGCAGAAGAAUCGACACAUGUUCUUGGAAUGCCACACAUUAGAAUCCUGCUCAGCAGUGAACCAACACUCCAUUGCUGUGCAGGUAAUUUGGCUUCCAAGAGCACCCUGCUGGCAGCUGUAAGGAAGUGCAGGAUCCCCUCCUGGAAAGAGAGACCACACAUAGAAGCUACAGAAGAUGAGAAGAGCCAAGACCCUCAGCAUGUCAGUGGCCAUCACAACCCAGACAAGUCCUGGAUAACUAUAGGGGAAAUUUAGCCACGCCCUCUCGGGGGCUGGCACAGGUGACGCAGACCACGCACGCACACUAGGGCGUGGUCAGAGUGACGUAGCAAGACCUUAAAUAUGAGGGUCCCAUGCAGGAGGCUACCUCUGUUCCAGGGUUCGCCUGGUGACUCGUCGUGUG